GUGACGGUGAGGGAUGAUGAAGAAAUGAGCUCCGACUUCCUGCUAUAGAACCACAUCCACAACGCCCUCUUCUAAGCUAGCUACUACCUCCCCAAGAAAUGCAACAUCAAGCCAAGCCUGGUUCAGAUCUUCCGCUCAUAGAAUUUAUUCUUCCCCGUCUCCGCCGGCUUCCUUACCGGCGGAGCCACAUAUACUUGGGCGAGACCUACAGACCGGCGGGGACGAGUCGACUUAGGCGACUCCUGGGCGGAGGGGAAGCGACCACAUGGAGGCAGGCUUAGCACGGUAGCAGGUUGGCAGUGGCGCGUCGAUCUGGGCAACCUCUGAGGAGAGCAGCGCAGAGAGGGAAAGGGUUCAGAUGGAGAGCUCAGAGAUGCCCCGCAACGGCAGAGUGGCAUCGUCUAGGUAGCU